UAUCUCUGUAGAGUCUGCAUAUCAAUAAGCGGAGGAAAAGAAACUAACAAGGAUUCCCUUAGUAACGGCGAGUGAAGCGGGAAGAGCUCAAAUUUGAAAUCUUCAAGGUUUUACCUCGACGAAUUGUAGUUUAAAGAAGUGUUUUCUGUUGAAGUUUCGGUAAAAGUUCUUUGGAAUAGGACAUCAUAGAGGGUGAGAAUCCCGUAUUUGACCGUUAUUUUCAGCUGUGUGAUACACUUUCAAAGAGUCGGAUUGUUUGGGAAUGCAGUCCAAAAUGGGUGGUAAAUUUCAUCUAAAGCUAAAUAUUGGCGAGAGACCGAUAGCGAACAAGUACCGUGAGGGAAAGAUGAAAAGAACUUUGAAAAGAGAGUUAAACAGUACGUGAAAUUGUCAAAAGGGAAGCGUUUGACACCAGUGUUGUUUUUCCGAAAAUCAAUUACGAAUGGCUUGAUUUUGUGUUGUAUUGACCUUAUCAGCUUUCUUCACUUUUUUCGAGUCUUUCUUAAUGCACUUUUCGGUUAACAAGUCAACAUCAAUUUCUUUUGUUGUAAAAGAGUAUUCGGAAGGUGGCUUUCUUUUCGGAGAAGGUGUUUAUAGCCCUAUACUUCUACAAUCGGAGAGAUUGAGGUCUGCAGCGUAGAUCCUUCGGGGUUAGAUACAUUUGUGCUAAGUUGUAGCUUUUCAUAGACAACUUGUUGACUAUGUUUAGUCAUGCGGCUUACUCGCUUAUGCUAUUUUACCUACGCUUAGGAUGUUGAAGAUGUAGCACAUCAU
rnacentral:rRNA from 1 species